GACGAACGCUGGCGGCGUGCUUAACACAUGCAAGUCGAACGGAAAGGCCCUGCUUGCCGGGUACUCGAGUGGCGAACGGGUGAGUAACACGUGGGUGAUCUGCCCUGCACUUCGGGAUAAGCCUGGGAAACUGGGUCUAAUACCGGAUAGGAGCCAUUUUUAGUGUGAUGGUUGGAAAGUUUUUUCGGUGUAGGAUGAGCUCGCGGCCUAUCAGCUCGUUGGUGGGGUAAUGGCCUACCAAGGCGGCGACGGGUAGCCGGCCUGAGAGGGUGGACGGCCACAUUGGGACUGAGAUACGGCCCAGACUCCUACGGGAGGCAGCAGUGGGGAAUAUUGCACAAUGGGCGCAAGCCUGAUGCAGCGACGCCGCGUGGGGGAUGACGGCCUUCGGGUUGUAAACUCCUUUCGCUAGGGACGAAGCUUUUUGUGACGGUACCUAGAUAAGAAGCACCGGCUAACUACGUG
rnacentral:rRNA from 1 species